rnacentral:lncRNA from 1 species
CCUGCCUUAGAAAUAUUUUUUCCAAGAAUUUGAUCUUGUUCUGACCAAAGCAACUGCAAGCCAUCAUAAAAGAAGCAAACAUUCUUGUCCCCCUAUGUGUAUUCUGCAAUGUUGAAUUCCAAAUAAAAAUCUCAUGCAAGGUUGCUUUGUUGGUAAUUGUACGGAGUUGGUCCAUAUCUCAGAAGCCAAAUUAAAAGGUCUAAGCCCUAUUGCAAUAUCA